rnacentral:rRNA from 1 species
CCUACGGGAGGCAGCAGUGAGGAAUAUUGGACAAUGGGGGCAACCCUGAUCCAGCCAUGCCGCNUGCAGGAAGACUGCCCUAUGGGUUGUAAACUGCUUUUAUACAGGAAGAAACCUACUUACGUGUAAGUAGCUGACGGUACUGUAAGAAUAAGGAUCGGCUAACUCCGUGCCAGCAGCCGCGGUAAUA